UAUCGACAAACUCAUUAGUUUAAAAGUGAUCGAUUGAAGUGUAAUUGGUUAGUCAAUUGUAUUGUAUAGGAAGCAAUCAAGUUGGCUUCGUUGAUCAUCCUGUAUAGUUUCUGGUUUCAUAUUUUCUUAUUGGAAGAUGCUUUUUGCGUUUCCAGGUAUCAAAUGCUGCGUGCACCACAUCACCAGCCUUUGUAUGUUUGUGGAACACUUGUAGCAGCAACGUUAAAACAAUGGGCAUGCAUAACAAGAGAAGUGAACGAUUAAGUGGCUCAAAUGGAAUCGGGAACAAGACAUUUUACAUUCUGUUAAAUUAAAAUAUUUUAAUGAGUUAUAUUAUAUAAUUUGUUAAUCUUUGAUUAGCAUUUCUUGAUAUUAAAUUUUAGAAAGUCAAUGGUGAUAGUAAAUAUUUUUUAAAAUAUGUGUAAUAAAUAAUAAUAGCAUUGUUAAUGGACCAACUUAUUAAAACCAUUAACUCAUUAAAUUGGUUGGGUUAUGGUUUAACCCAAUCCAUUUAGUUAAUGGGUUGGAUUAACUCAUAAUCCAUAAACAUAAACUGCUCAAUCUAUUUGGGUAUAUCCAUUUGGGUAUGGAUUGAU